rnacentral:rRNA from 1 species
AGGAUUAACGCUGGCGGCGUGCAUGAAACAUGCAAGUCGAGCGCGGUGUGAUGCGGGGUAACCCAAUUCACAUCUAGCGGCGAACGGGUGAGUAACACGUGAGCAACCUACCUUUGAGUUGGGGAUAGCCCUGGGAAACCAGGAUUAAUACCCGAUGUGGUCACAACAGGACAUCCUGAUGUGAGUAAAGGCGUAAGCCGCUCAAUGACGGGCUCGCGGCCUAUUAGCUUGUUGGUGGGGUAACGGCCUACCAAGGCGAUGAUGGGUAGCUGGUCUGAGAGGACGAUCAGCCACACUGGGACUGAGACACGGCCCAGACUCCUACGGGAGGCAGCAGUUAGGAAUUUUCCGCAAUGGGCGAAAGCCUGACGGAGCAACGCCGCGUGAGUGAUGAAGACCUUCGGGUUGUAAAGCUCUGUCGGAGGGGAAGAACGACAAUGACGGUACCCUCCGAAGAAAGCCCCGGCUAACUACGUGCCAGCAGCCGCGGUAAUCUGA